GGCUCCAUAGUGUAGCGGUUAGCACAUCUGCUUUACACACAGAAAGUCCUAGGUUCACUCCUCAGUGGAGCCA
rnacentral:tRNA from 1 species